rnacentral:rRNA from 1 species
CGGGGUGCAGCAGGCGCGAAAACUCUACAAUGCAGGCAACUGCGAUAGGGGAACAUCGAGUGAUCCUCAUAUUGGGGGUCUGUCCACUCGUCUAAAAAACGGGUGUUAGCAAGGGCCGGGCAAGACCGGUGCCAGCCGCCGCGGUAAUACCGGCGGCUCGAGUGGUGGCCGAUAUUAUUGAGUCUAAAGGGUCCGUAGCCGGCUUUGCAAGUCUCUCGGGAAAUCCAGCGGCUUAACCGUUGGUCGUCCGGGGGGUACUACAUUGCUUGGGACUGGGAGAGGUAGGAGGUACUCAGGGGGUAGGAGUGAAAUCCUGUAAUCCUUUGGGGACCACCGGUGGCGAAGGCGUCCUACCAGAACAGGUCCGACGGUGAGGGACGAAAGCUAGGGGCACGAACCGGAUUAGAUACCCGGGUAGUCCUAGCCGUAAACGAUGCUCGCUAGGUGUCACAACAGUCGUGAACUGUUGUGGUGCCGUAGGGAAGCCGUGAAGCGAGCCACUUGGGAAGUACGACCGCAAGGUUGAAACUUAAAGGAAUUGGC